CUUGCUACCAGGCGUCGAGCGGCGGACGGGUGAGUAACGCGUAGGAAUCUGCCUAGUAGAGGGGGACAACAUGUGGAAACGCAUGCUAAUACCGCAUACGCCCUGAGGGGGAAAGGAGGGGAUCACUUGUGACCUUCCGCUAUUAGAUGAGCCUGCGUGAGAUUAGCUAGUUGGUGGGGUAAAGGCUCACCAAGCCGACGAUCUAUAGCUGGUCUGAGAGGACGACCAGCCACACUGGAACUGAGACACGGUCCAGACUCCUACGGGAGGCAGCAGUGGGGAAUUUUGGACAAUGGGCGAAAGCCUGAUCCAGCAAUACCGCGUGCAGGAAGAAGGCCUUCGGGUUGUAAACUGCUUUUGUACGGAACGAAAAGGCUCUUUCUAAUAAAGAGGGCUCAUGACGGUACCGUAAGAAUAAGCACCGGCUAACUACGUGCCAGCAGCCGCGGUAAUACGUAGGGUGCAAGCGUUAAUCGGAAUUACUGGGCGUAAAGCGUGCGCAGGCGGUUUUGUAAGA
rnacentral:rRNA from 1 species